AGCCCUGCAUCGUGCCAUCUCCCAAGUGGUGCCUUUCCUUUGUUUAUUAUAAAUGUUAGGAAAUGUUACACUCAUUGAGGAAUGUACUGGUACAAAUGAUAUUAUAUGAAUAUAAUAUAGGAAUAAAACCAAACAUAUAAAAAUAUGCCUCCCCAAAAGCUAGGCCACUGCACAAGAUGAACAUGUGUUAGGCAUUGCAGUAAAGAACAUAGGAUGCAUUAGGCCAUUCAUUGCAUCCCUACAAAAGAGCAACUUAUAAAAACAUGUGUUAGGCAUUGCAGUAAAGAACAUAGGAUGCAUUAGGCCAUUCAUUGCAUCCCUACAAAAGAGCAACUUAUAAAAACAUGUGUUAGGCAUUGCAGUAAAGAACAUAGGAUACAUUAGACCAUUCAUUGCAUCCCUACAAAAGAGCAACGUAUAAAAAGAGAAACCAGUAAGACAGUUGUUGUUGUUGGUGCGGUGAAUGUGGACCUCUGGUAACACAGUGAGCCCCUUCAUGUGUGUGUGUGUGUGUGUGUGUGUGUGUGUGUGUGUGUGUGAGGUGGUCCCUCAUGGUCACAGCGUCACUGCCUUCAAAACUCCUGCCUUCUGGCUUUUUUAGAAGCAAAGCCAUCGAUGACAUGGUCGUGUGAUGGCAGCUGUUUUCCAAUCUCCUGAUUGAUGCUGAUUAUUGCAAGUCCACUGAGGCCAUCUUGUCCCAUGGGUGGUAGGACUUUAUGAGCCUUAGCUCUGAAAAGCUCCUCUCUGUUGAGACCACAGUCACUGGGAGAGUGCCGGCAGUCUGUAGAGCAAUCCACAGAUUGCCGUAAAGUUCUUUCAGCUGAUUUUUGUGGAUGUUGGAGAGAAACCCCAGUGCAGUCAAGUCAUCCGAAGGCACGGGCGACAAGUUGUUGAUUUCAAGAGCCCGUGCCUUUCCAUCAAUGUGGUUGUUAUUCCCAGUGCUUAGAGUGGUACAGAGCUGCUUGUGGCAUUGCUUGGACAACGCCUCACCAGCCAGUCUUAUAAAGUUGAACAGCAGCACUCCAAAUUUGUCUCUGAUUUCUGCCAGUGUUUGAAAGCUUUCCUUUAAUGAGUCAAAGGUGGUGUCCACAACCACGUUAAAGAAUUCAGUUGGUAACCUCUUGAUAGCCUGGUGCUUCAUAGGCAAAGUGUUUCUCUGUGCCUCUUAAGCACAGGAUUCAUCUGGUCGCAUACAGCAGCAAAGCUCUGUAUCUUCUCACUGAGGCUGUUGCCUUCAUGAGGAGGUCAAGUGCUACAUCAAGCUGCAGGAGCCUGCUCCUUGCUUGGCCCCAUUGUCAUACGACUGUCCUCUGCAGUUGUCAGAAGGAAUACUCAGGCCUGUUCAGAAUCAAAUAUGAUAAACAAAGACCUGUGUUGUUUGGGAAGCCACAAGAAAUGCUAGAAAGUGUUCCUUGAGUUCCAGCGCUUCAUCAGUGUUGACGGUCCUUGUGACAACCAACAUCUGGCUUGCGUCAGGAGUACCAUGACUCAACAAUACUUGGACCGUUUAAUCUCAACCACCACGGAGUCCAACAUUUUCCUAGUGAUUGAAGCAGUCAGCCCAUUUUGUAUCACAUUUCCAAGGUAGCCGGAAUGACUGGACUGCCCACGAUGCUGCUUCAUGGCAGGAUCAAAUUUGGCGAGCAGCUCCGGCCACCUCUUUUAAGACAUUUCCAUUGUGUUGUUGUGUUAGUAGACAAUGCAAGAUUUCUCUCAGCUAGAGAUUGUACGAUAGAGAUCAGGCAGGUCAGGACAUCCCUCUUCUCUGCCUCUGUCCUCUGGCCUUGAUCCAUGGUCGUGCCGAGGCAGUUCCAAAUCCUUCCAUGUUGUCAUGUGGCUGUGUUCUGGAGUGCCUUCAUGACUUUUCAGAAGUGUGCCUGUGUUUGUCCAGUUAGAGAGUCCCUCUGCCAUUAAUUUAACGUCCUUUCUUGAGAAUAGCUUGCAGCAAAGUACAUGUUUUUUCUCAGUAGGUUAGCCAAGUUUUCCCCAUUUGCAGGAAAUCAACACUUUGCUCUGUGAGUGUUUAUCUCCUUCAGCUUUCUUCUUUUUUCUUUGCUGGGCACCAGAAGGGUGUAUUAUCCUUUUCCACGCCAUGUCGCCGCCACUCCUCACUCCACGCUGAGCCUGACACGGUGACGCUGCGUACAGCUUGCUGGAGGCAAAGCACUACAUGUACGUUCUGGAGGCCUAAUCCAAAUUUGAGGAGAAUAUGGCAAAAUACUUGAAAAUAUAUGAAUUUCUGGAUCAAUAAAGAAAAUUCAGUAAAUCUAUUGAUACACAACACACAUUUUAGUAAUAAUAAUAAUAAAAAAUAAUAACAAUGGCAGCUUGGGGGGCCUAUGCAACUGUUUGCACAUAACAAGAAACAUCCCUGAGUCUAGGCCAUCUUGAGACACAUGACAGCCACGGUAUAAAUCAACACAGAAUGAUGUGUUGUAUAGAAAGUCUCUUUAGCAAGGCAGCAUGUACGUAUGAGUUUUGUGAGUCAACAAGACCUGUAGUGAGUGUUUUGUUAGGACAAGUACAGCCAGCACCUUAGAUCAUGACACUCAGAGUGUGUUUGGACGAGAAAUAGAAGAAUUGACAGCUGCAGUGCCCUCUGUAGAAGAGAUCAUAAUGAAGAACCCAAACUUGGCAAUAGAUUUAAUACAUUGCAAUUGUCAGCUGUAGUGAUCCUUCAUACAAUAGACUGAUAGAUACAUAGAUUGUUACAUGCUUUAUUCAACAACUUCAUGGCUUGCAGUAAUAGAUAGGACAUCCGACAUAGAUAUUAUUAUUAUUACCAAUUAUUUAUUUAUUUAUUUUUUCAGCAUACAAGGACAUUGAGGAAGAGGAGGAAGAAGAAGGAGAGGAGGAGGAGGAGGAGGAGGAUAAAUAAUUAGUGAGAACAAAAUAUCAAUGAAAAAUAAGAAAAUGAGAGAAUAAAGUGAGAAAAUGAAAGAUAGUGAAAAGUGAGAUAGUGAGGAAAAAUAUUUACUACUGAAAAAAAGAAAGAGAGAGAGAGAUACAGAAUAAAGUGAGAAAGUGACUGGAUUACUACUACUACUACUACUACUACUACUACUACUACUACUACUACUACUACUACUACUAUCACUACUACUACUACUACUACUACUAUCACUACUACUACUACUACUACUACUUCUACUACUACUACUACUACUACUACUACGACCACUACUACUACUACUACUACUACUUUUUUUUUUUUUUACAGGCCUCCAUCUAUUAGAGUUGCGUUGUGAGCGGUAUAUUCUCUCAUAUCCUUUCACAAAGCAAUUCAUUGGCCCCACCCCGCCAAUGACUGUGGCCGACAACCAUCCUUAUUUAAUAUUACAAACCUUACUAAACAUAUUAUCUUUAAGCUAACCGAGCUUGUGGUUGAUACGACUAUCAACCACUGUCGCCUCAAAGUCCAGGUCGGCAAUGUGGGUGGUUUUGGGUGCAGGUGACCUGGUUCCUCUCAGGCAGACCAAGGCUGACCUCAGGAGGGAGAAGGACAGCCUGCAUCUCAUCCAGGCGACCACACUGCUUCUUGGCUACUACUACUACUACUACUACUACUACUACUACUACUACUACUACUACUACUACUACUACUACUACUACUACUACUAACUCUUCCUCCAACCUGCAGGAUGUGUGAAGAAGAAGAGGAAGGCUAGGAAGGCUCAGGAGGAAGGAGAGUCCCUCACUGCAUUGAGACUCAAGGGAAGGAGCCGAGAUGAGACCAGACUCAGCCCUCCAGUGAGCCCAGGUAACCACCAGGGGGACACCCACGCACCUCAUGGCUUAGGGGAAAAUGCAUGAAGGUGGUGGGUGAGUGAAGCAACGCACCCCCUGUGUAUGCUCAGGUCCCAGGCUACGUCAGGUCAGGGGCUGCCUCAAGAACAGACUCUUGCAGGGAGGGAGACAGAGACGAGACCACUGAGCCGAGGGAACCAGUCAGGCCUUCAAGAUGCUGGGGGAGACGAGACGAGUCCUGUUGGGGAGAAGAUGGAGGGAGAUUAAUUGAAGGGCAGAGAUGAGAGAGAGAGAUGGAACUAACUGUCUCUCUGUAUUUAUAUAAAGAGAAGACUAAUAAAGUUUGGAAAUAUAUAUUACAACGGAUAUAUUUAAACCUACUUCUCUUCUUCUUCUUCCUUGUCUCUUUCCUCUGUCCACCAGUGAGCUAUUGUAUUCUUCCCUUCCCUUCCCUUCCCUUCUCUUCUCUUCCCCUCCCCUCCCAAGAUGCCGCCUGGAUGCUGAGGGGAGAGAGAGAGAGAGGAUGAGAUGGCUCUCUCUCUCUCUCUCUUCUUUUCAAUGGACCUUAUACACUUUUACAUUACUUUUUUUUGUGAGAGAGAGAGUUCCAGCUUCCAGUCCCUUGCUGAGCUGAGUGACCAGACAGCACCAGCCAGUCAGCUAUAGCCCUGAAAAGAUAUAUGGUGGUUAGGUCCCGGUAGAUUGUGGUGGAGUGGUAGAAAUUGUGGUUGAAUGUCAGGUCUUGGGUUGAAAUUCUGGGGUUACAGAGUUGAAAAAGUUUUGAACAAGUUGAGUUUUUGGGGUUGAACUUGUGAUGACUGAUGGUUGAAUUGUGGUAGACUGGUAGAGGGAUGUUGGGCAAAUAUUGUGUGGUGGUUAGACCCUGGUAGAUUGUGGUAGACUGGCAGAAAUCAUGGUUGAAAGAGACAAUAGUAACUUACCACAUAUCAGCAACUUCCAGUGCCAGCUUCCAUCAGUUGC